GCAUGUUCACAUGAUUAAAGGUAUUCCGGUAGACGAUGGGGAUGCGUUCCAUUAGAUAGUAGGCGGGGUAACGGCCCACCUAGUCUUCGAUGGAUAGGGGUUCUGAGAGGAAGGUCCCCCACAUUGGAACUGAGACACGGUCCAAACUCCUACGGGAGGCAGCAGUGAGGAAUAUUGGUCAAUGGGCGAGAGCCUGAACCAGCCAAGUAGCGUGAAGGAUGACUGCCCUAUGGGUUGUAAACUUCUUUUAUAAAGGAAUAAAGUCGGGUAUGCAUACCCGUUUGCAUGUACUUUAUGAAUAAGGAUCGGCUAACUCCGUGCCAGCAGCCGCGGUAAUACGGAGGAUCCGAGCGUUAUCCGGAUUUAUUGGGUUUAAAGGGAGCGUAGAUGGAUGUUUAAGUCAGUUGUGAAAGUUUGCGGCUCAACCGUAAAAUUGCAGUUGAUACUGGAUAUCUUGAGUGCAGUUGAGGCAGGCGGAAUUCGUGGUGUAGCGGUGAAAUGCUUAGAUAUCACGAAGAACUCCGAUUGCGAAGGCAGCCUGCUAAGCUGCAACUGACAUUGAGGCUCGAAAGUGUGGGUAUCAAACAGGAUUAGAUACCCUGGUAGUCCACACGGUAAACGAUGAAUACUCGCUGUUUGCGAUAUACAGCAAGCG
rnacentral:rRNA from 1 species